GCACAGACCCAGCGGGGAGGGACCCGGACCCAGGGCGACAGGGCCGUGGCUGGCCGCAGGUGUGGCCCGUGUGCAAACCCUGGCCUGCACUCAAGUCCCCCUCAUUGCACCUCCCCCGAGUCGCUCGCAGAGACGGAGAAGAAUACAUUUGCCAGACCCGUGGCUGCGUUCCACAUACCCCAGGCCCUGUGCAUCUGCUCUAGCAAAAAUGCCACAUCUGGUAGAGCAGCUGCGUUGGCCUCGACUGAAUGGCAGCCACCUAAACCGUCAUCCUUCAGGAUCUGUCUGAUUUUUGCAGGAGCCAGGCUGGUGACCGGAAUGGAGGCUCGGAUGCGGCCGUGAAUCGUGGCUGCCUCGGCGGGUCUGCGGCCUGCUGCAUUUACGUGCUGCUGUGGUUUGGCCUGUCUGGUGUUCAGGCCUCCCCCCGAGCCCCUCAAGGACGCAAGUGUGCUCUGUGGCCUCUCACUCCUGACACGGUGCAGCUGUUGGGCAGCUGUUCUCGCGGCUGAGCGAGCUGCCGGUGCAUGAACGCCUGCCCUAGGCUGGGUCCGGCCGUGCGAGACACAGAAAGAGAGAGAGAGAGAGGCAGAGACACAGGCAGAGGGAGAAGCAGGCUCCAUGCAAGGAGCCCGACGUGGGACUCGAUCCCAGGACUUCAGGAUGAACGCCCUGGGCCGAAGGCAGGCGCCAAACUGCUGAGCCACCCAGAGAUCCCAUAAGCCUGGGUGUUUGAUUGGUAUUGCCCCAUCAUCCCUCCUGGAGCAGGGAAGGCACAGUCACCACCACUCCCCGCUCUGUGCUCAGGAUUAAUCCAUCACCGCACUCUUCCCUUCUGUGUCCCGAUGAGGUUGCAGAGCGUGUACAAACCCAUAACCAAUACUCCCCGCAGCCACUACCGAUCAGAGUUGGCGCAGGAGCGACAUCCUACUUGCCAACCCUGCAUGAGAUUGCGGCCUUCGUCCGUGUGACUUCUCUUUACUAUUUCCCCUGUGCUUCUCUGCACCUGACCCACCUCCUGCCCAUUUGACAGAUGAAGCCUGCCCGUCAUUCGGAGCUCCUGGCCCCAGCCGCACAGCUCUGGUGUCUGUUGGACAUCGGCUUCCAGGUCUCUACAGGAUCGGCCGCAGUUGUGCCUGUUAAGGGUCAAAGAGGACUCUUGGCCUACAGUCCCUCUACCACCGCCGUUCCUGAACUGUGCCUAGAAGCAGCUUCCCUGCCUGAGGUUUGAAGGAAGCCCGGAGAAGUCACAGAUCUUUUCUGAAAUGUACCAUUUUCUUUUCUGUGUCUGUUUAUGGGAUUAUCUUUGGGACAGAGCCCAGGUCAAAUUGAUUCAAAGUGUCUUCCCGGGAAUUAAUCGUGUAGAUAGGGUCUACAAGAGGUAACCAUGUUAAACGAGGUCAUAGGGUGCUCACUGAUCCAGCAUGACCGAGAUCCUUAGAAAAAGAGGCAAUGAGCAUGCAGGCGGACACAGAGGAGAGACGAUGUGAGGAUGGUGAAAAGGUUGCCAUUCACAUGGGAAAGAGGGAAGCAUCAGAAGGAACCGGCCACGUCAACUCCUUGAUCUUGUACUUCUAGUGUCCGGCUAACCCUAACUGGGAGAAAAUACGUUUCCGUUGUUUCAUGUCCCCAGCCUGUGGUACUUUGUUAUGGCAGCUCUAGUAACCUAAGACACAUGGGGAUGUUCUCCAGUGGGCCACGCUUCCCACCACUGCCCUGCCUGUCCCAGUUUAGCCAUUCCCAUCACUUCUCUGACCCCUGGAGGCCUCACAGGAACAGAGGGGGGUGUUUCUUCUUGAUCAAGGGGAAGAGACCUCCAUCUACUUCCCUCACGAUCUUACAGAGUGGCAGGUUGAGAGAUCCUGAAUCUUGGCCAGGUAUUCAUACAUUUCAUCCCAAAUAACCCUUUUAUAUACUUAUGAUUCAUUUAUACUCAGAGCGGCCUUGGGUAGCAUGGUCAAGUUUAUGCUUCUGGGACUGGUGUUUCUGAUGAUCCCAGGUCUGGGGUUUAGGAGCUUGAGCAGGUGUGGAGGGAGGGGAAGGUGGCUCUCAGACAGCAGAGCAUGGAAUCAAGAGAGAUCCAAAGGAAAGUUCCAAAGCCAUGUCUGAAAUGAGGGCCACACAGAGGCUACACAUGGAACAUUCAUCUGAAGAGGCUGGGAAGAGUCUUGGGAAACGAGGUAUGAGACAACACGACACAGAAUGGAGAUAUAGGUCAGACUGAUCUGCUCCAGGUGAUGGAGGAGGGUGGGGGAAAAAAGCCAUCAGGUCACCUGUAGAGUGCUUGUGGCUUUGUCCCUGGGAUAGAUGGGAGCUGUUGAAGGGUCAGAAGACAGUCCUAUUGCCCUGCAUUCAGGGAGGAGGAGCAAAGACCCUCCUCUUUGCUUCUUGGUAAGACUCACAUAGGUUGUAGGCCUAUAUUUGGGAAUCACAAACCAAAUUAAAGUGUAGAAAGUUCACGGAGGACAGACGUCCCCACCUACCCCAGCACCCUAAGACCUCACCAGUUCACACACGCAGGAUUAACAGGGAACUGGCGUCUGGUGGUAAUAGUGUCUAUCCUCUCCCUCCACCACUCUAUCGUAUUGUUUUUGUCCUGGAAUAUACUAUUCUUAUUUUGAUACCUUCUGUGUGAGAAGGUAGAGAAUUUUCCCUCCUUCUGAGGUUUCUGUGAGGAUAGUUUUGUUUAUGCUAGUGGAAGAAAAGCAGAGUUUUUGAGUAAUAGGUUGAAGUAAGGCCAGCCUUUGCCCAAGGUGGAACAGACCAUGCCAAUAAUUGUCCUCAUCGCCUGUUUUCUAGAUUUAUCAGUGCUCAUGAAGCAAUGCUGGCACCAUGCCUUUAUUAUUUCAACUAUCCACUGUGUAUGGGGAGAAUAAAUCAUUUUUGUCCUCUCUGCACCAUAACUUUAUAUACUUAAAGAUUCAUGGCUCCCCUUAAUCUCUUUCCUCAUAAAGCAAACAUAGUUGUUCUUAUUUGUGUUUUCUUGUAAGACUUACUUUUUAAAAAACCAUUUCUUGUUCUCAUUUUCCUUUGAAACUCCUUGGGUCUAUGUUGAUUUUGAAAUUUGCAACUUGAGGAAGAAUAUAGUUAGUAUUCCCACCGGGUUUGUACUUAUGAAGGCCAAAUCAAGAGUAAUAAACACGCGCCUAUUUGACCUUGGAGUGAAUCCCUGAUCCCAGCCCGACGCACCACGGUCUAUUGUAGUGGGGCCCUCUGUGGACCUCCGAAGUAUUUAUUACUCAUGCUCAGCCAGACCAACAGUCCCAAUUCUCAACUUGCUCCAUAUUUUUACUUCUGGGAAUCACUUUGCUGUUUUAGAAAUUGAGUCUCAUUUUAUUGAUCUGAGCCCAAUCUCUAAUUUUGACAAUGUACAUGUUUUAUUAUCCUCCCUCACACAAUGGGCCAUUAUUUUCAGUGCCCCGAUACUUUAUCAUAAAUGUUUUGGCCUGAAAAGAAUCACAUCUUUUGAAAAUUCAGCAUAAUAGAGUUCCAAACUGCAAAAUAAAUGUACCAAUUGUGUUAUAAUCCCCUCGCCGUAUCUAUGUUAUGAAAGGAGGCAUUUGCUUCAUUAAACAAAUAUUGGCUUGUGUUUUAAAAUCCUCCUCAUCACGCCUUUGGAGUAUGUAUUCGGCUGGCUAAAGAGAAAUUUUCACUAAUUUAUUCAUACUUUUGGUAGUUAUUGAGAUUCCAUUGUGAGCAAGGAUGUGGAGGACAUAAGGGAGAUGAGACAUGACUACCCCAGCCUUUAGGAACAGGCUCCCCUUUCCAAUUGGCCGUGAAUCAUAACAGGAACUGAGUCUAUAUUCUCUUCCCUCCUUAGACAUAAUUCAAAUUCAUGGUGUUCG